rnacentral:rRNA from 1 species
CACAUGCAAGUCGAGCGGUAGAGAGAGCUUGCUUCUCUUGAGAGCGGCGGACGGGUGAGUAAUGCCUAGGAAUCUGCCUGGUAGUGGGGGAUAACGUUCGGAAACGGACGCUAAUACCGCAUACGUCCUACGGGAGAAAGCAGGGGACCUUCGGGCCUUGCGCUAUCAGAUGAGCCUAGGGUCGGAUUAGCUAGUUGGUGGGGGUAAUGGGCUCACCAAGGCGACGAUCCGUAACUGGUCUGAGAGGAUGAUCAGUCACACUGGAACUGAGACACGGUCCAGACUCCUACGGGAGGCAGCAGUGGGGGAAUAUUGGACAAUGGGCGAAAGCCUGAUCCAGCCAUGCCGCGUGUGUGAAGAAGGUCUUCGGAUUGUAAAGCACUUUAAGUUGGGAGGAAGGGCAGUAAAUUAAUACUUUGCUGUUUUGACGUUACCGACAGAAUAAGCACCGGCUAACUCUGUGCCCAGCAGCCGCGGGUAAAU